GUUGUUUCUUUGUUUUUUGGUCCAAGAUCAUGAGUAGUGUGUGUUAUUAUCAUUUAAUAUUUCGUAAAUCCUCUACCUGAGGUUACUUUAUGAAGGGGAUUUUUGGAACAGGGAGAUUGAGUAGAGGCUGGCUCCAUCCAAUUCACAGACCAGUCUGAUAUCGCAGUACCUCCAUGAAUGGUAUGGUUCUC
ensembl:snRNA U2 U2 spliceosomal RNA